CAGAUUAAACUUUCAAAAUUUAAUUCAAAGGGGGGCAAAAUUUCAGCUGCUGAAAAUCCUGAGAAUCAGCAGCGUACAAAUGCGAUUUAGAACCUCCAGUCAUUAGUAACUAUUAAUAAUACAUGUGAAGAAAAGGAGAGUGACUGCAUGUCAAGACUAAGUCUGGGAUUUCUUGACAUGACUUAUGUAUGUAAAUGGAAUAGUUAUUUAUAGCUGCAGUAAUAGAAAAAAAUAGUUCUGGAAAUAAUUCACAAACAGAAAGGAGUAAAUUGUGAGUUGAAUGUCACUCAACUAAACCCCCUAGCACUGCUGAUUUCUGAGAGGUAGGGCAGAAGCUGUAUUAGGUGUGUAUUACUUUAAAAAAGAAACUUUUAAACUUAGAAUAGUCAAGGCAUUUUCUGAGUGAAUAGAAGGAAGCUGCAAAGAGCUGAAGAUUUCUCUCGUGGAGAUGAAAUCCACUUGCAGCAACACAGAAAACAAGGUAUUCUCAUUAGAUAUAUAUACUUAGGAGACAAUGCUAACAGCAAUUCCAGCUCUCCACAGGUAUCAACCACAAACAUGGUUUUGACAUUGCAAUUCCCCAAGUGGCUAUAUGCAUGCUGACCAAGCCAAUUAAAAACACAACUGUUAGCAAAAGUAAAAAAAAAAAAAAAAAAAAAAAAAAAAAAAAAACCACAAAACCAAAAAAGCCAGAAACCAAAAAACCCAAUCAAACCACCAAUUGAAACCACGAGUCUUGCACUGUCUGCAGAGAGAAAAAUUUCCAUACCAAGUUUCAUAUGCUGAACCUCCUGGAAAGUUCUAUGAUCAGGUAUUCACCAGAUUUUUUUAAUCUGGUGAAUCUCAUUACUUUUAAUUAUACUAACUCUUCAAAUACAGGGUUAAAGUAAUAUUAAAGUCACCUUAAAUUCAUAAACACCAGACAAUUCCAUUUAGGCAAGAUACAGCCAUUACAACAUCGCAUAAAAGAGAAAAGCACAUGUAUAUGUAUUUUUCACAUGGGCAUGUAGGGACAGGACAAGGGGGAAUGGCUUUAAACCGACAGAGGGAGAUUUAGAUUAGAUUUUAGGAAGAAGUUCUUCCCUGUGAGGGUGGUGAGGCUCUAGCACAGGUUGUCCAGAGAAGCUGUGGCUGCCCCAUCCCUGGCAGUGUUCAAGGCCAGGUUGGACAGGGCUUUGAGCAACCCAGUCCAAUGGAAGAUGUCCCUGAAAUCUGAUGAUCUUUAAUGUCCCUUUCAACCCAAACCAUUCUCGGAUUCUAUAUAAUACAUAUGAGUCUGGUAUAGAAUAUUAUAGUAAGAAAAGUUUCAGUCAUACAAGAAGAUAACCUAACCAAAAUAUCUGUACCUCAAAAGUGAAACAAGAUAGAUACAUGUUUUAAUUUAUUUCUAUUAAAACUGUCUGCACUAAUGGAUUCCAGCAGGCUACUUAGACUUGAAACUCAUUUUCAAAUAGAGAAUCAUAUAAAUAAGAACGUUCAACGUUCUCUCAUUUCACAGUAGGACAGAAUUCUUACCAAGCCUGCUAUGCUGUUCUCCAGGUGCCCGGCAAGACAAGAGUCUAAUGUGUUAUUCUACAAGGCUUUAAGGACCAGAGGUAUCAAUGCACUAAAAAGCAAGGAGA
rnacentral:lncRNA from 1 species